rnacentral:rRNA from 1 species
ACCCGCUGAACUUAAGCAUAUCAAUAAGCGGAGGAAAAGAAACCAACAGGGAUUCCCUUAGUAACGGCGAGCGAAAAGGGAUUAGCCCAGUAUGUAAAUCUCUGACCUUUGGUCAGCGAAUUGUAGUCUGGAGUAGCAUCUCCUGGAGCCGCGCCAGCCCAAGCAUCUUGGAAUAGAUCGCCUGAGAGGGUGAGAGCCCCGUAGGCUGGUUGCGUCUCCUUCACGGAGUGCUCACACCGAGUCGGGUUGUUUGGGAAUGCAGCCCCAAUUGGGUGGUAAACCCCAUCUAAGGCUAAAUACCUGUGGGAGACCGAUAGCAAAAAAGUACCUCGAGGGAACGAUGAAAAGACCGCUGGCAAGCGAGUGAAAGAGUGCAUGAAAUUGUAUAGUGGGAAGGGAUGGCCUGGCGUGCUGCCCGCUGGUAUACUCUGCUCCUCGAGCAGCUGAAUACACAGCGGGCUGGUUGGUGCCGACUCCUGCGCUUGCAUAUCCCCAAACUAAGGUGUUUGGCUCUACAAGCGCGGGGGUUGAGGUUGAUCGUUGCUUUGCUUUUAGCUGCAUCGACAUAGCACCAGCCGAAGCUUGUCCAUCUACCCGUCUUGAAACACGGACC